GAUGAACGCUGGCGGCGUGCUUAACACAUGCAAGUCGAACGGAAAGGCUCCUGCUUGCAGGGGUACUCGAGUGGCGAACGGGUGAGUAACGCGUGGGUGAUCUGCCCUGCACUUCGGGAUAAGCCUGGGAAACUGGGUCUAAUACCGGAUAGGACCACAUUUUGGAUGGUGUGGUGGAAAGUUUUUCGGUGUGGGAUGAGCUCGCGACCUAUCAGCUUGUUGGUGGGGUAAUGGCCUACCAAGGCGUCGACGGGUAGCCGGCCUGAGAGGGUGUACGGCCACAUUGGGACUGAGAUACGGCCCAGACUCCUACGGGAGGCAGCAGUGGGGAAUAUUGCACAAUGGGCGCAAGCCUGAUGCAGCGACGCCGCGUGGGGGAUGACGGCCUUCGGGUUGUAAACUCCUUUCGCUAGGGACGAAGCGCAAGUGACGGUACCUGGAGAAGAAGCACCGGCUAACUACGUG
rnacentral:rRNA from 1 species